UCAUUUUCUUGCAGACGCCUUUCAAAUACUUUGGACGCACAUACAAUCAGAUCUUUGUGAACAACAAUGGCCAUCUAACGUUUACCGAGCCGCUGCCUGCCUACAACUCCUCUCUGGAUCCCGGAAGAGACAUCAUUGCUCCUCUUUGGACUCACCUUGACUAUAGACGCGGAGGAACUAUCUCCUAUAGGCAGGAGACAAGCAGUGCUGCACUGACACAAGUCACAGCAGCUGUUAAGCGAUACUUCCCUAACAUACCCUUUGCUGCUACUUCAGCUUUUGUCGCUACAUGGGACAGUGUGCCAUACUCUAAUGGUGGAGGGGUGGCCUCUUUCCAAGUGGUUUUAGCCUACAAUGUCCAUCGCUCUUUCAUCCUGAUCUAUUAUGGAGAUGUUGCAGAAACAGGACUACCAUGGCAGGUAAGUGAAGUUG